rnacentral:lncRNA from 1 species
UGGCAUUCAAAGUACCCCUACUCAUGCGAAAGAUGAACCACAUAGGGAACACUGGUAAACAACAUAACAUCUUCCUGACCUUUAGCUCAUGACAUUGAUUAAGAGUCUUGUAAAUUUCAGUUAGGACACCCAAGACUGGACUCUCAAAGCAAACUUUUUAUCCUGUAAAUGCACUCAUUGCGACGUAGUCAACAAAAUUCCUGGUGCUAGGAAAAAGCAUGACACCAUAGUCGAUAAGAGCAAGUACAUUCACUUUCCCUCCUCGGUCAACCAAUGCAAGAAUCACCAUAGGUAUCCUUGAGGAAGGUCCUUUGUUGUACCUUUAAGUAUGAAUUCACUCUCUAACUUCAUAGGGGGAACUUUCAUUAUCCUUGCUAGCUGCAAAUCAGGUAUAUGCUACCCAAGGUGGUAUGAAGUGUUUCCCUUGAGGAAUACAUCUAAGGUCUCCUCAAAUUCUUCUAUUGUUGGCAUCAACUAGAAAUGGGUCAUAGUGUUGGGCUAAAACAAUAAUUAUUGUUGUUUGGACCUCCACCUCUGACAGGAUCAACAAAUUCCCAUCCAUUCCUGAAUGCAUUUUUCAGGGUCAUCUUUUUUAUAUCCCUCAAGAGAUAGAUAUUGCCCCCCAUUGGCUUCAAUGCGUAUGCUUUUCUUCAAAAAGUCUGAACUCGAAUACCCAUUGACUCAAAAUUCCAUGUUAAUUCCAUUUUUACCGUAAUCACAACUUUAUAAUUUCUUGACUAGAACUCACAAAAUUUUGACAAGACCAUAAAAACAUGAGCAACAAAGAAAGAAUGCAGUGACAUGUACGAGGUGCUUGAUUUUAUUAAACAAAAGUGCGGGUUAUAAGGAUACACACAUCUCCCUUUGUGCCCUAGUGAAGGUUCAACAUUUUAGAUUCAAGGUCGAAUAUAUGCAACCUCACAAGGAUGGUUCCCUGAACCUAAAGGUCAAUGGUCACUAGAGCUAUGGCCCCCUCCACAGCAUCUCCACAACAAUCGAGUAAUCAACUAGGUGCGGAGACACACAUGAAGAGAACAAACUCUAGUUGGAGUUCUCACGAUAGCCAAACAGGAAGUACAUCCCAGAGUGACACCGCUACACAACUCCUCUAAUUCUAAGCUGCGCUCAGACCCGGGUAUAGGGCCUCUCUCAAUAGAUGCAUAAUAUGUGUGUGUGAAGUGAGAAUGCAAUGCACCCAAACCCUCACCUGCAAAAUAGCCAGAAAAAUUCCCAGGCAGAUAUAAACAUAUCAUCUAUCCUAGGGUUCAAUAACCAACAAGCACAAUUAUUCACACGCGAUAAUUCAAAUAUCAAACAUAGAUAAAGAAAAGGGAAAGAAAAACAUAAAGCAAAACCACAUUGAAAUUCGCGCAUUUAAUUAAAUGGCCUGACUCUCGAAUGUCCCCAGUGGAGUCGCCAUCUGUCGCAACCGGAAAAUUGCGACGGGACAACGACGAUCCAAAAA